UGUUAUGGCGGCUGUGCGUGGGACACCUUCGGGUGUGCCGGUUUCCUAGAGUGCCGGUUUUCCACCCCGCGUACGGUCGCCACCCAA
rnacentral:antisense_RNA from 1 species